ACUCAAAUGAAUUGACGGGGACCCGCACAAGCAGCGGAGCGUGUGGUUUAAUUCGAUGCAACGCGAAGCACCUUACCAGGGUUUGACAUGUGAUCGCACCAUCCGUAAUGGGAUGUACCCGCAAGGGACGGUCGCACAGGUGCUGCAUGGCUGUCGUCAGCUCGUGUCGUGAGAUGUUGGGUUCAGUCCCGCAACGAGCGCAACCCCUAUCGUUGGUUAUACGUGUCCAGCGAAACUGCCCUUGUGGAGGAAGGCGGGGACGACGUCAAGUCAGCACGGCCCUUACACCCUGGGCGACACACACGCUACAAUGGCCGGUACAACGGGUAGCAAACCCGCGAGGGGGAGCCAAUCUCAGCAAAACCGGUCUCAGUUCGGAUUGGAGGCUGCAACCCGCCUCCAUGAAGCCGGAGUUGCUAGUAACCGUGGGUCAGCACACCACGGUGAAUACGUUCCCGGGUCUUGUACACACCGCCCGU
rnacentral:rRNA from 1 species